rnacentral:rRNA from 1 species
CGGACAGUGUCUGGUGGGUAGUUUGACUGGGGCGGUCUCCUCCUAAAGAGUAACGGAGGAGCACGAAGGUUGGCUAAUCCUGGUCGGACAUCAGGAGGUUAGUGCAAUGGCAUAAGCCAGCUUGACUGCGAGCGUGACGGCGCGAGCAGGUGCGAAAGCAGGUCAUAGUGAUCCGGUGGUUCUGAAUGGAAGGGCCAUCGCUCAACGGAUAAAAGGUACUCCGGGGAUAACAGGCUGAUACCGCCCAAGAGUUCAUAUCGACGGCGGUGUUUGGCACCUCGAUGUCGGCUCAUCACAUCCUGGGGCUGAAGUAGGUCCCAAGGGUAUGGCUGUUCGCCAUUUAAAGUGGUACGCGAGCUGGGUUUAGAACGUCGUGAGACAGUUCGGUCCCUAUCUGCCGUGGGCGCUGGAGAACUGAGGGGGGCUGCUCCUAGUACGAGAGGACCGGAGUGGACGCAUCACUGGUGUUCGGGUUGUCAUGCCAAUGGCACUGCCCGGUAGCUAAAUGCGGAAGAGAUAAGUGCUGAAAGCAUCUAAGCACGAAACUUGCCCCGAGAUGAGUUCUCCCUGAGACUUAG